rnacentral:rRNA from 1 species
UGGCGGACGGGUGAGUAACGCGUGGGUAACCUGCCUUGUACAGGGGGAUAACAGUUGGAAACGGCUGCUAAUACCGCAUAAGCGCACGGUAUCGCAUGAUGCAGUGUGAAAAACUCCGGUGGUAUAAGAUGGACCCGCGUUGGAUUAGCUAGUUGGUGAGGUAACGGCCCACCAAGGCGACGAUCCAUAGCCGACCUGAGAGGGUGACCGGCCACAUUGGGACUGAGACACGGCCCAA